ACUGAAUUCUAUUAGAUUUAAAAGAGAUUUCAAAUUUUUCUGAUUUUAUAGUGCAUCUGAAUCGUAUUAGUACGUCAGCACUCUUAUCCCUAUCCCCCCAACCCCUAUCUAGUUUUCAGUGUGAAAGAGCAGACUUCCAAAUCUUAAAUUUUAUGUUGUUCUUGAAGUUCACAAAUUAUGGUGGGAUUGAUUUUUUUGUUCAGUUCAGUUCAUGUUUCAGUUUUAUACCCAAUAUUUCAGCAUUUUCUGCUGCGACUUUUUGAUAACCAACCAAAAUUUAAAUGUUGAAGAUUUGUAUUUUGUAACCAAAUGUGAUGUGAAAUUUUAAUGAAAUCUACAACACACAAUGGUGGAGGUGCAGUUUGUACGUAUGUUGUUCAACUUUGGCGUUAAUUAGCCGCAGUUUAAUGGGUGAAUACCACUCCAAAUACAUACAACUGUUGCAAAGUAUACUUUGCUAAUGAUUUUACUCUCUGUACAUAAUGAACAAAUAAAUUUUAGUUGGUUAUCGUAUGAAGCCUGUUAAAUAACCCCCAAUAUUCAGAAGCAUUGAAAUUCACUUUUAAAUCAGUUUUACGUCUUGAUAUAUAAAUGAAGGGCAAAAAAGGUGCAGAUACCCAGUUUAACGAUAUCGAAUAUUUACAGAAGAAAUUUAAAAGAAAAUGAAGAAAACUUAUAACUAAAUAAUAAAAUACAGAAAAAGGCAAAAAAAAAUAAAAUAAAAUAAAACAAAAACAAAAGAAAUUCAAGUGCAGCCUCCUUAGGAAGUUCUUCUUCGUGGUUUCGUCUAUAAUCAUUAUCCAUUUGGUUUUGGUAGCAACAAUAUCCAUUUCCAUAUAACUUUUUGUUCCAAUACUACCAUCCAAAAUAGUACAAUACCCAGACAUCUCCAUAGGUUUGCUGAAAAGUGUAAAAUAUGUGUGGAAGUGUGAAAUAUGUGUGAAAGUGUAAAAUAUGUGUGGGGCCUUCAAUCUCAAUAGAUCUGGCCAAGUGAAAAUGAUUCCAUAUUAUAGAGGACCAACCCUUAACACCAACGAACCAGAAAAGACGUCAAAUACAUCUUGAAGAUAUUAGGUAUAGAAGAAAAACUGACAUCAACCCUGAACACAAAGAACACAGAAAAUAAAUCAAAUACAUCUCGGAGGUAUUUAGCUAUUUUGAAGACAACAGAUACCAUGCAACACAAAUAACUCACAAUAAUGUUAAUUCAGGAUCCUGACAACGACAGACAACAAUCAACAUUUUCAGACGAUUUCAAGACACGCUAACAGUUCCUCAAUAUCCUUUGUGUGAAUUAUAUUUCUUGAUCCUUAUGGUGGUUUAACAUCUUCUUCUUCUCUUGACUCAUCUUAUGGUGGUAGGAAAAAGAAUUAGAAAGUAGAUGUAAAGCAUUCCAAAGACAAUGAAAUAAGAAGACAAACGUGAUCUUAAAGAAAAUAGUUCGAAUAGAUACAACAACAAACGAAAGACAUUCACAAGUUGGAGUGAAUUAGAAUUCAAUCCAAGAAAAAUUAAGAAAUUGAUAGAAGCCAGAGUGAUUACGAGAAGACAGUCUGCGAAUCAAAUACUACGACACCACUUACGCAAAACUCGGUUGAGUAUUACGUAAAUGGAGUAAUGAAAGAAUGUAAUUAAUCACUUAUUUCUUUAUUCUGCAUAGAAAUAUGUACAAGAAAACCUAAAAAUACAGAGAGAAAAGUGAAAACUAAAAAAAACGGAAGAACUAAAAAUGAAAAACUUAGACUAGAAAAGAAAAAAAAACAAAAAUUAAAAAAAAGGAAAUAAAAAAAAAUAAAAUAAAAUAAAAAGAAGUAGAAACUAGUAACUACAAACUAGAAUAAAACAAGAAAGGUGUUAGUUAAAACUUUAUGAGAGAAACAAACCUUACAAUCAGAGGUAUUAGUCGAACUUAAACUAAAUAACAGUGCUAAGCAGAACAAACAAAAAAAAGACGAAAAAAAAACAAACAAAAAAAAACGAAAAAAAAAAAAAAAAAGCAUGCAACUAACAUAAAAAGCCGCCUCUUUUGGUAUUUAUUCUUCAUGGUUUCAUCUGUCAUCAUCAUUCAUAUGGUUUCACUGGCAACAGUAUAUAUUUCCAUAUAACUUUUUGUUCCAAUACUACCAUCCAAAAUAGUACAAUACCCAGACAUCUCCAUAGGUUUGCUGAAAAGUGUAAAAUAUGUGUGGAAGUGUGAAAUAUGUGUGAAAGUGUAAAAUAUGUGUGGGGCCUUCAAUCUCAAUAGAUCUGGCCAAGUGAAAAUGAUUCCAUGUUAUAGAGGACCAACCCUUAACACCAACGAACCAGAAAAGACGUCAAAUACAUCUUGAAGAUAUUAGGUAUAGAAGAAAAACUGACAUCAACCCUGAACACAAAGAACACAGAAAAUAAAUCAAAUACAUCUCGGAGGUAUUUAGCUAUUUUGAAGACAACAGAUACCAUGCAACACAAAUAACUCACAAUAAUGUUAAUUCAGGAUCCUGACAACGACAGACAACAAUCAACAUUUUCAGACGAUUUCAAGACACGCUAACAGUUCCUCAAUAUCCUUUGUGUGAAUUAUAUUUCUUGAUCCUUAUGGUGGUUUAACAUCUUCUUCUUCUCUUGACUCAUCUUAUGGUGGUAGGAAAAAGUAUUAGAAAGUAGAUGUAAAGCAUUCCAAAGACAAUGAAAUAAGAAGACAAACGUGAUCUCGAAGAAAAUAGUUCGAAUAGAUACAACAACAAACGAA